rnacentral:rRNA from 1 species
GAGCGGCGGACGGGUGAGUAAUGCCUAGGAAAUUGCCCUGAUGUGGGGGAUAACCAUUGGAAACGAUGGCUAAUACCGCAUAAUGCCUACGGGCCAAAGAGGGGGACCUUCGGGCCUCUCGCGUCAGGAUAUGCCUAGGUGGGAUUAGCUAGUUGGUGAGGUAAUGGCUCACCAAGGCGACGAUCCCUAGCUGGUCUGAGAGGAUGAUCAGCCACACUGGAACUGAGACACGGUCCAGACUCCUACGGGAGGCAGCAGUGGGGAAUAUUGCACAAUGGGCGCAAGCCUGAUGCAGCCAUGCCGCGUGUGUGAAGAAGGCCUUCGGGUUGUAAAGCACUUUCAGUCGUGAGGAAGGUGGUGGUGUUAAUAGCACUAUCAUUUGACGUUAGCGACAGAAGAAGCACCGGCUAACUCCGUGCCAGCAGCCGCGGUAAUACGGAGGGUGCGAGCGUUAAUCGGAAUUACUGGGCGUAAAGCGCAUGCAGGUGGUUUGUUAAGUCAGAUGUGAAAGCCCGGGGCUCAACCUCGGAAUAGCAUUUGAAACUGGCAGACUAGAGUACUGUAGAGGGGGGUAGAAUUUCAGGUGUAGCGGUGAAAUGCGUAGAGAUCUGAAGGAAUACCGGUGGCGAAGGCGGCCCCCUGGACAGAUACUGACACUCAGAUGCGAAAGCGUGGGGAGCAAACAGGAUUAGAUACCCUGGUAGUCCACGCCGUAAACGAUGUCUACUUGGAGGUUGUGGCCUUGAGCCGUGGCUUUCGGAGCUAACGCGUUAAGUAGACCGCCUGGGGAGUACGGUCGCAAGAUUAAAACUCAAAUGAAUUGACGGGGGCCCGCACAAGCGGUGGAGCAUGUGGUUUAAUUCGAUGCAACGCGAAGAACCUUACCUACUCUUGACAUCCAGAGAACUUUUCAGAGAUGGAUUGGUGCCUUCGGGAACUCUGAGACAGGUGCUGCAUGGCUGUCGUCAGCUCGUGUUGUGAAAUGUUGGGUUAAGUCCCGCAACGAGCGCAACCCUUAUCCUUGUUUGCCAGCGAGUAAUGUCGGGAACUCCAGGGAGACUGCCGGUGAUAAACCGGAGGAAGGUGGGGACGACGUCAAGUCAUCAUGGCCCUUACGAGUAGGGCUACACACGUGCUACAAUGGCGCAUACAGAGGGCAGCAAGCUAGCGAUAGUGAGCGAAUCCCAAAAAGUGCGUCGUAGUCCGGAUUGGAGUCUGCAACUCGACUCCAUGAAGUCGGAAUCGCUAGUAAUCGUGGAUCAGAAUGCCACGGUGAAUACGUUCCCGGGCCUUGUACACACCGCCCGUCACACCAUGGGAGUGGG